AUGCACCCUGAUUCCGAGGAGGCUGCUCAGUUUAUUGAAGAGCAUGAUGUGGAGGACAGCUUGGAGGAAGAUGAGUGCUUCUCUGACGUUACAGACGACCCCACAGUGCUGGACCCGGAGGUCCUUCAGGCUCCAGCCUCUCAGGUUCUUGGUCCUUCCACUGUUACAUCUGGUCUCACCAGCCUGUCCUCCACCUUGGCGAUCCCCACAUCUACUGUGGCUCCAGGGACAUCCAGUAUGGGCUUGGGCACUUUCCCCAUAGCUCCCAGCAGAUCCACUUUGGUUCCUGGCCCGUCUGCAGUCACUGCCAGCACAUCCGAAAUGGCUCCUGGCACAUCCACCUUGACUCCCGGUACAUUCACCCCAGUACCAGGCACAUCUGCAAUGGCCUCCAGUGUAGCCACUCCACCCUAUAGUUCAUCCUCUGAUGCUGGAGUUGAUAGUGCAGCUGAAGAUGAAGAUAUGGCUGUUGAUGACCAAACUGUUCAAUGGCAUGACAACGGGGAGAAGAAGCCGGAGCUUUCUGUGCUUCCCCUGGGUACUGUAUUGCCCCCAGUCCUCAUUAAGACUGAAGAGCCUCUUCAGGAGGCAGAAGUACUCCCUGCUGAACCCAUGCCAGCACAACCAGAGUAUCAGUGCCGGCUGCCAGUGAGUACAGCAGGUCAGGUCCAACAGAGGCAGACGGCCUCUAGUCUACUUGUGAGUACAGCAGGUCAGGUCCAACAGAGGCAGAUGGCCUCUAGUCUCCUCCUAUGUCCCAUCAUGCCAAAUGGGCCAGGGAAGAGGGAGUUGUUUGCCACACCCCCAGCGCCAGGACCCUUUCUGACAACUCAGAUCUUCGUAUCAGCAGGACAACCUGUAAGUCUUCUACAAGUAGUCCUUCCUAGGCCAGCAGUCCAGGGCACCCGCCCACAAACCUGUGCAACUAUUCCAAAGAGGCCAUAUAAACGGACUGUACAAUCGAACACGUGUAAAAAGUGUGGCCACUUCCGCACUACUCAGACUGGACACAGCGGGUUCCGUGGCAAAGUGUAUUGCCCUCUGUUAGAAUCUUUGCCAAAGGGCAAAUGGUUGGCGUGGCAGAAAAUUAAGUUCCAGAAAAAAUAGCAUUGUAAAAAGUGAAUAAUUGUAAAUAGUAGUUGUAUUGUGAAGGUGUUGUUUAUUAAAGUAUUGUUUAAUUCUUCUGGGUUUUAUGUAAAAAAAAAUUGUUCUACAUUCUUCAAGUCUACAUCUACAUUGUCUACAAUUAAAUCUUUCAAAAGUGUUUAUUUGCUUCUUUUUCUAUGAACAAAACAG
rnacentral:lncRNA from 1 species